AAGUCGUAACAAGGUAACCGUAGGUGAACCUGCGGUUGGAUCAUUAACAAUGGUUUUCAAACCUUUAUUCUGUGCACUGUAUUGUUCUUGGUGUUUUCCGCCUCUCUCUUUGGAGAGGAGCGGAGGCACCGACAUUUUUAAACCAUGUAUUGUAUCGAGUCUUGAAUUUGUAUUAAAAUGAAAAACUUUUGACAACGGAUCUCUUGGCUCUC
rnacentral:misc_RNA from 1 species